AGGAUGAACGCUGGCGGUCUGCUUAACACAUGCAAGUCGAACGGGCUCUUCGGAGCUAGUGGCGGACGGGUGAGUAACGCGUGAGGAUCUGCCCUUAGGACGGGGACAACAGCUGGAAACGGCUGCUAAUACCCGAUGUGCCGAGAGGUGAAACUAUUUGGCCUGAGGAUGAGCUCGCGUCUGAUUAGCUAGUUGGAGUGGUAACGGCACACCAAGGCGACGAUCAGUAGCUGGUCUGAGAGGAUGAUCAGCCACACUGGGACUGAGACACGGCCCAGACUCCUACGGGAGGCAGCAGGUGGGAAUUUCCGGCAAUGGGCGAAAGCCUGACGGAGCAACGACCGCGGUGCGGGGAGGAAGGUCUAAGUUGAUUGUAAACCGUCUUUUGAUAGGAAGAAGAUCUGACGUACUAGUCAAAUCAAGACAGUCGACUAACGUCCCGU
rnacentral:rRNA from 1 species